rnacentral:rRNA from 1 species
AUUGAACGCUGGCGGCAGGCUUAACACAUGCAAGUCGAGCGAGCGGCGGACGGGUGAGUAAUGUCUGGGAAACUGCCUGAUGGAGGGGGAUAACUACUGGAAACGGUAGCUAAUACCGCAUACCAUCGGAUGUGCCCAGAUGGGAUUAGCUUGUCGGUGGGGUAAAGGCUCACCUAGGCGACGAUCCCUAGCUGGUCUGAGAGGAUGACCAGCCACACUGGAACUGAGACACGGUCCAGACGCCUACGGGAGGCAGCAGUGGGGAAUAUUGCACAAUGGGCGCAAGCCUGAUGCAGCCAUGCCGCGUGUAUGAAGAAGGCCUUCGGGUUGUAAAGUACUUUCAGCGGGGAGGCGUUACCCGCAGAAGAAGCACCGGCUAACUCCGUGCCAGCCGCCGCGGUAAUUC